rnacentral:tRNA from 1 species
CCCGGCUUGGCGGAAUUGGCAGACGCAUGCGGUUUAAGCCCGCAUGUCCGUAGGACGUGGGGGGUCGAAGCCCUCAGCCGGGACCA